GGGGAAAGCCAGCUGCCAUCAGGUGGGGACGCUAGAGCAGCCCCAGGGAGCCCCGAUGUGGCAAGGAACUGAGAUCUUCUGCCAACACCCAGGACCAACUUGCCAUCCAUGAGAGUGGGCCAUCUCGAAAGUGGGAGAGUAUUGUCAGUGUUUCAGUCAGUGCUUGCUGCUGAGGCAGGAGAGAAUAAUUGUGUAAAGAGGGGCUCCCGCAGUGCAGGACAGGAAGCCACCAUGUGAGCACCACGUCCACGUGCAGGCCGCAGGCUUCAUUAUGUCCUGAAUACCAUGCCUCAGCAUUUCAUAUUUCAGGUUUCUACUUCUACAUCUCCAGCCCUGAAUACUCAUGGAAACUCACUGUACCUGUGACAGGUUGCAUGAGUUUUCCCCCUCUGUGGACUCAAUUUGUGUAUUAUUGUAUCAUAUGACAUUUUGAAUCAAGUGCUGCUAGUACCAAGCUGCUAUCAUCAGCUGAUGCCAAAAAUAUUCCUUAUAACACUUCUCAGCAUGCAAGUGAGAGCACUUCAAAUCACACAGACAGAAUUUCCAGCCAUUGUUCUUUUCUUUUUUGCUUAUUAUACAGCAAUAAGAAUCAAAACAAAAGGGGAUUUAUUAGAAAAUAAGGCUUCAGUAAAAUGUUAUAAAACAUGAGGUUUAUUGUUAGUGAAGAUUGAGUGAAAUUCAGUUCCACAUUGUAGAUACUGCCUCAGAGGCCUAUUUUCCCCUUCUUUUCUCUAUUCCCAGAUAUUUUUCAAGUGGAAUCUUUUUUUCAGUCUUUGAUUACAUUAAGGUGCAAACUAUUUAUCCAUCUGGAAAUAAGCAAUACUGUCAACAGAGAACCAGGAAAUGAAAAGUGCAGCUGGCCAUAUGCC